rnacentral:piRNA from 1 species
UUUUACAGUGCCCAUAGCCGUAGAUUAAGCCU